AGCGAACGCUGGCGGCAGGCCUAACACAUGCAAGUCGAACGAACUCUUCGGAGUUAGUGGCGGACGGGUGAGUAACACGUGGGAACGUGCCCUUUGGUACGGAAUAACUCAGGGAAACUUGAGCUAAUACCGUAUGUGCCCUUCGGGGGAAAGAUUUAUCGCCAUUGGAGCGGCCCGCGUCUGAUUAGCUAGUUGGUGAGGUAAAGGCUCACCAAGGCGACGAUCAGUAGCUGGUCUGAGAGGAUGACCAGCCACAUUGGGACUGAGACACGGCCCAAACUCCUACGGGAGGCAGCAGUGGGGAAUCUUGCGCAAUGGGCGAAAGCCUGACGCAGCCAUGCCGCGUGGAUGAUGAAGGUCUUAGGAUUGUAAAAUCCUUUCACCGGUGAAGAUAAUGACUGUAGCCGGAGAAGAAGCCCCGGCUAACUUCGUGCCAGCCGCCGCCGUAAUAC
rnacentral:rRNA from 1 species